ensembl:lncRNA
GCAUGUCCGGCAGAGACGCACUGAAGACAGAUGAAGGUCUGAUGAUGAUGCAGGAGCUGGAGGACCGACUCAAGGAACACACUGAUAAACUGGAGCAUGUGCGUCUAUCUGCAAUGGACCUGAGAGAUGCUCUAUCAGGGAUGAAUGCCAAGCCACGCAGCUUUCGGGUCAAACAGCAGGGGCUCAGAAGCACUGGCCGCUGGGGCCGCUCUCAUGUGACCGAUGACGCCCAAUCAGAGUAUGGCUGGUCUCCCGUCCGCACCAGACGCAACAGUGAUGCUGCGUCUGAGAUGUCAUGUGCGUGGUAGAAACGCUUCGCUACACUCACAUUAAGAUUGUGUGAUUGUUGCUCUUCAUUUACUGUCAGAGUAACAUUUCCUUGUCCAAAAGUCACCACUGUAAAGGUAGCCUGCUGUUUUUGUAUUUCAUACAGUUUACAGUGUAAUUAAAAAGUGUUUGUUGUUCCAAACCUGAGUGACUCUUUCUUCUUUAUAAGAUAAAAUAAGAGAGUGAGGAGCAGUCAGUGUUGGGGGUAACGCAUUACAAGUAACGCAAGUUACGUCAGAUUACUUUUCCAAAAUAAGUAGCUAGUAAAUUAAUGCAUUAUUUUUUUAAUUUGCAAGAAAAUAUCCAAGUUUCUUUUUCAAAUAAGUAAUGAAUAAGUGAUUAAUGGAAUUUUUGACCCAUUUUAAAUAAUUUCAUUUUGCCAUUUCUUUCCCUACAAGUAAACACAAAGAUGUGCAUAACAUUUGUUUAACUUAUUUUCUUAAUAAAAAAAGAAAAAGAGAGAGGUCA